CACAAUCUCUCCUACCUAACCCCUCUCACACUCUUCUACUCCUGAAUCCCUCUCACGCAUACGUACUCGUCUCCUCAUCUCAUACCCUCUCCGUUCAACCCCUCUCCGAUGAACCCCUCUUCGUGAAUCUUUCCUCCGAACUCCUCUCUGUCUAACGAUCCUUUGCCGAAUCCCUCUCCCACUCAAUCUAAAAUUUCCUCACCCUCGACUAUUUUUUAAGUCAAGACUGCGGGCCCAGGUGGUUUCGGACGACGAGAAGGAGUACACCCACUGCGCCUACGACUCCGGCAUCAUGACUGGACUUAGCGUCGAUGCCUUCCUUUUGCUGUUGGCGAGUUAGGUAUUCAUCAUGUCCGUCACCAGGUGCUACUUAUGCAUCCCCUCGAUCAAACGCGAAAAAUCCUGCUCUUGCACCGUCUCCCUCUUUUGGUCUUUUUGGUAGUUCGAAUAUACCAUAACCCCCACCCCCUUCCCUUUUGUUUCGAUUUUGCAAUGCGACGUCCCAUUUUUCUACAACACUUGCGACCGUCGAUUUUUCCCCGAUGCAUUUCACUGCCUCUUUUUCCCUGAUCCACAGUACCAUCAAGGAAUCUGUCGCAUUGCCUCCUUCGUUAUUCUCUCAUGAUCUAGGGAGGGAUUCGCCGAUGGUUCUUCUCUUCUGCAAGACCUAUAUUCUUUCAAGGGUGAUAAGUAUUAAGGUGAAUAAUAAUCAAGCUCACAUUAGAUGGUAUCAACCAAGCUGGCUACUUCCAAACAUGGGUUUUUACUAUGCUGGCAAUUUCCUGCAUUGUAGUUCAAUGAAUUAGGUGGGUUGCUUUUAGUUGUACACUGUUUUAACCAGUCAUGCUUAUAUUCCAAAUCAAACUGAAUUUCUGCUUGUUUUCUAGUUAUUUGCUCUUAGACUACCCUUAUAUAUAUGUUUAUAGGAUAAUACUCAACUAAUUACGUGGUUUUCUUUGAUGCUUUCCAAGCUAUACUGAUUUAACCAGUAAUGUGUAUAUUUUAGAUCUGAAGAAUAUACUGCUACUUGAACUCACUUGAUUUUUUCUUUUAAUAUGCAUGUUGCACGUACUUGAACAUGUAUGACAUCUGUCAAGAAGUAAAUAUGAUCAUAUAUAACCAAGAAUGGAUUUGUAUUGUUGCUAGAGUUAAUUUUGGGUGACAGAACUUUGAUUGACUCUGAAUCUCAACAUUAUGAAUUUAUAAACACCUACAUAGAGAAGAUACUAGUUAUCCCAGUUAGACCUUGCCAUGUGGGCUUCAGAAACAAUCUUACAUGUCAUCGGCAAGAUGUUGUACCUUUUCAGAUAUUUUGAAGGUGAAUGGAGGUAUUCAGAAACUCCAACUAAACAGCUCAGGUAUGGAUGAUUACAGGAGCAACAACUACAUGCUAUGUGACACUGCAUCCAAACCUAGGGGUGUGACUGGGAAGUACUUCGAUGAAGAACUAUCAAGAAGCUUUGGGAUUUAAGCGAGAAGAUGGUUAAAGCCAAUGAGUAAAGAACAUUCAAGUCAAGAGAAUAAGUAGCAUCUAUCAAGAUUCUUUAAGUUCAUGCACUAAGAUGUAGUCGGUAGGAGUAAUUUUGAAUGUCUCCUAAUUAAAAUUUCUUUGUAUGCGAGUAGUUAUGUUUGUUAUAGAGUUGUAAGGAUGAUAAUUUGUAUAUUUAUCUUGAUUGUUUAUUUAAUAAUAUGUUGUUGAUUGAAGUA